rnacentral:rRNA from 1 species
GCCAAAAACCUAGCCCAACAAACAUGCAUAUAUCAAACUAAUUUAACCCUAUUAAAUAAAACAUUUUAAUACUUUAGUAAAGGAGAUUGAAAAAUUUAUUGGAGCUAUAAUUAUAGUACCGCAAGGGAAAGAUGAAAUAUUUAAUGAAAAACUUUCAAGCAAAUAAAAGUAAAGAUUAUACCUUGUACCUUUUGCAUCAUGGUUUGACUAGUUUAAUCAAGCAAAAUGUAUUUUAGUUUGACUCCCCGAAACUAAGUGAGCUACUUCAGGGCAGCUGUAAGAGCGAACCCGUCUCUGUAGCAAAAGAGUGGGACGACCCUCAAGUAGCGGUGAUAGACCUAACGAACUUAGUGAUAGCUGGUUACUCAAGAAAUGGAUUUAAGUCCAACCUGAAAUUCCACCACAGUACACCAAAUCAAUUACUUGAAUUUCAGAGUAAUUCAAAUAAGGUACAGCCUAUUUGAAACAGGAUACAACCCAGACUAAUGGAUAAGAUUAGCCUCAUUACAACCAAGUGGGCCUAAAAGCAGCCAUCUUUAAAAUAGCGUCAAAGCUUAAUUGUUCAAAUGCCUAAUUACCAAAUUUUUAUCAUAAUCCUUUUUUAAUACUGAGUAAUUCUAUAUUAUUAUAGAAAAUUUUAUGUUAAAACUAGUAACAAGAAGAAGACCCUUCUCUUUAAUGCAAGUGUAAAUCAGAAAGGACAAACCACUGAUAUUCAACGUCAAUGAACCAAGAGUAGUAACCAACCAAGAAAAUCCUACUUUUACAAACGUUAACCUAACACAAGAGCAUUCCAAGAAAGAUUAAAAGAAAAAGAAGGAACUCGGCAAACAUUAACCUCGCCUGUUUACCAAAAACAUCGCCUCUUGAAGACUUAUAAGAGGUCUAGCCUGCCCAGUGACCUUGUUCAACGGCCGCGGUAUCCUAACCGUGCGAAGGUAGCGUAAUCACUUGUUCUUUAAAUGUGGACUAGUAUGAAUGGCAUCACGAAGGUUAUACUGUCUCCUUUUUUUAAUCAGUGAAACUAAUCUCCCCGUGAAGAAGCGGGGAUAAACCUAUAAGACGAGAAGACCCUAUGGAGCUUUAAACAACAUAGCACUUGCCACACAAUAAUAAAAUUUCUGUAUUUAAACUUUCACCGGCAACUUGACUAUAAGUUUUUGGUUGGGGUGACCGCGGAGCAUAACACAACCUCCAUAUUGAAUAGAACUUUUCUAAGCUAAGACCUACAAGUCCAAGCAUCAAAAUAUUGACAUCCAUUGACCCAAUAUAUUUGAACAACGAACCAAGUUACCCUAGGGAUAACAGCGCAAUCCACUUCAAGAGCUCCUAUCGACAAGUGGGUUUACGACCUCGAUGUUGGAUCAGGGUAUCCCAGUGGUGCAGCCGCUACUA